rnacentral:tRNA from 1 species
GGGUGAUUAGCUCAGCUGGGAGAGCAUCUGCCUUACAAGCAGAGGGUCGGCGGUUCGAUCCCGUCAUCACNNACCA